rnacentral:rRNA from 1 species
GACAGAGGAUGCAAGCGUUAUCCGGAAUGAUUGGGCGUAAAGCGUCUGUAGGUGGCUUUUCAAGUCCGCCGUCAAAUCCCAGGGCUCAACCCUGGACAGGCGGUGGAAACUACCAAGCUGGAGUACGGUAGGGGCAGAGGGAAUUUCCGGUGGAGCGGUGAAAUGCGUAGAGAUCGGGAGGAACACCAGCGGCGAAGGCGGCAAUCUGGACAGUAACUGACACUCAACUACGAAAGCGUGGGGAGCAAACAGG